AAUAUUGGACAAUGGGGGCAACCCUGAUCCAGCCAUGCCGCGUGUGUGAAGAAGGUCUUCGGAUCGUAAAGCACUUUAAGUUGGGUUGAAGGGCUUUAGGUUAAUACCCUGAAGUUUUGACUUUACCAACAGAAUAAGCACCGGCUAACUCUGUCCCAGCCGCUGCGGUAAUACCGAGGGUGCAAGCGUUAAUCGGAAUUACUGGGCGUAAAGCGCGCGUAGGUGGUUCAGUAAGAUGGGUGUGAAAUCCCCGGGCUUAACCUGGGAACUGCUUUCAUAACUGAAGAGCUAGAGUACGGUAGAGGGUAGUGGAAUUUCCUGUGUAGCGGUGAAAUGCGUAGAUAUAGGAAGGAACACCAGUGGCGAAGGCGACUACCUGGACUGAUACUGACACUGAGGUGCGAAAGCGUGGGGAGCAAACA
rnacentral:rRNA from 1 species